UGAGGAAUUUUGCGCAAUGGGAGCAAUCCUGACGCAGCAACGCCGCGUGGGUGAUGAAGGCCUUCGGGUCGUAAAGCCCUGUCAGGUGGGAAGAAUGUCCCGGGACUGAACAGGUUUCGGGAGUGACGGUACCACCAGAGGAAGCAACGGCUAACUCCGUGCCAGCAGCCGCGGUAAUCCGGAGGGUGCGAGCGUUAUUCGGAAUUACUGGGCUUAAAGCGCGUGUAGGCGGUCCUGCAAGUCUGAUGUGACAGCCCCGGGCUUAACCCGGGAAGUGCAUUGGAAACUGUGGGACUUGAGUACUGGAGAGGAUGGGGGAAUUCCCGGUGUAGAGGUGAAAUUCGUAGAGAUCGGGAGGAAUAUCAGUGGCGAAGGCGCCCAUCUGGACGGUAACUGACGCUGAGACGCGAAAGCGUGGGGAGCAAACA
rnacentral:rRNA from 1 species